GAAAAUUUUAGUAAAUUAUAGUCAAUUUUUAUGCAAUGAAACUAUAUAGCUCUUUUUGUUAGAAAUUGUCUUACUAACUAAGCUGCUGGUGGUUCUGUGACGAAGUAGCUCCUGUUGGCUUCCCUUACACCGGGUCAGACACAGGACAUUAAUUAAGGCUGUGUGUGGUGUUUCUGAAAGGUGAGGAGACUGGGCAUUCUGUCUUUUACUCUACAGAUACAUCGUGGGAGACUCAAAGAUUAAAAUGUGGCCACUCACUGUGGAUCAGAAGCAGAAUCUCACAUCAUAACCCCAAAUGACCUGUUACUCACCAUGUGGCCCAGCUGUCUUCAAACUCACCAGCCUCCUGCCUUAGCCUUCUAAAUGCUUGGAUUACAGGCAUGACCCACCAUAACUGGCUUUGUUUUAGUUUCAGAGAAGAUGAAACUGAUGUGCGUCAAAAAGUUAUGGAGGCUGGGAAGACCUAGAAUGUGGCAUCACUAUUUGCUGAAAUUUUUAAUAUAAUGCCUCUUAGCCUGGUUUGGAGAAAACGUCACAGAGAGGCACCAUUUGUUGUGGUUUUACAUGAAAAUUUUCUGACCCUGAACCUGGUUUGAUGGAAAUCAUUUGCUGAGGAAACCAUGCCGAUUACCGACCGAGCUCUCAAUGGAAAAAUGCAGUCGGCGUGAACCACGCACGAACACAGCAGAGAAAGAAGAAAACACACACCACGAGGAACCCUAAUAGGACAAUACAUUAUAAGUCACAGUGCUACGGAGAAACCCAGUAGCCACAUGGAAGCAGAGACCAUGCAUAUGCAUCUACUCCGCAGCUCUGUGAAUGUCAGCAGCUCCCACGGACUGGAGAUCCCGUGAGAUCCCGUGAGAUCUCACCCAUAGCCUCAUGGUACAUCCACUUGGUGUGCUGGGAGAGUCAGGAUGAGGACCUGAGAAGAACAGCAGCUUGAACCUGACUUCAUUUAACAGCCCACUGCCCUCUUGCCAAGAACCCAUCACAGACCUUCCCAGAAGAGAGGGAUGAGCCUCACCUAUGAAUAAGUCCUCAGAAACUCAAAUUUGAUUCUAAUGGAUUGUUUUCUCAGAAAGACUGAGCAUGUCCCCCCACAUCUCUGUCAUUUCCCACAGUAGUAACCUCUGCAGAUGCCACAUAGAAAACAAAACAAAACAAAAAAACAUGAGGUUGGUGGGCAGAUAGGCAGGGUAUAAACAAACAGCCUUGUAACCCAGAAGCUGUGUGAUAUACAGUAAACUUCACAACACUGAAAAGAUGUCCUAUCUGUUAAAAUGGGGUAAUAACAACUACCCGAAUGUUUAGGAAUAGAACUUCAAUAAAUGAUACAUUUUAUAGUACAGCAGACCAUCCUGUAAAGGUUUCAUCCUUCACUGUGGUGAUAAAUAUCCCAAACCACAUUGAAAAGCAUUGCAUCUACAUUUAUCUACACUGUAACUGUACUGUAAAUCAUGGGGGAGGGGAGAAUCAUAAAAACACCACCUGUCACCGUGUCAUUAAAGCAAGUUGGAAGUGAUACUUACAGAAACACAGCAAGAGCACCCCCAGUCACACAGUUCAAUCUCUUAGCAAGCGUUUUCUUUCUAGCCCAGUGGUUCUCAGUUUGGAAUUUUUGGCACUGCCUAGAGAUAGUUUUGUUGUUAAAACUGAGAAAAGAGCCGGGCGUGGUGGCACACGCCUUUAAUCCCAGCACUCAGGAGGCAGAGGCAGG
rnacentral:lncRNA from 1 species